rnacentral:rRNA from 1 species
AUUGAACGCUGGCGGCAGGCCUAACACAUGCAAGUCGAGCGGAUGAAAGGGGCUUGCUCCUGGAUUCAGCGGCGGACGGGUGAGUAAUGCGCAGGAAUCUACCUAGUAGUGGGGGAUAACGUUUCGAAAGGAACGCUAAUACCGCAUACGUUCUGAGGAAGAAAGCAGGGGAUCGUAAGACCUUGCGCUAUUAGAUGAGCUUGCGUCCGAUUAGCUAGUUGGUGGGGUAAAGGCCUACCAAGGCGACGAUCGGUAACUGGUCUGAGAGGAUGAUCAGUCACACUGGAACUGAGACACGGUCCAGACUCCUACGGGAGGCAGCAGUGGGGAAUAUUGGACAAUGGGGGCAACCCUGAUCCAGCCAUGCCGCGUGUGUGAAGAAGG